AACGCUGCUCUCUAUAGUAUUACCAUGGCAACAUGCCCAACGCUGUAAAGUUCCCUAGCAACAGCCACGAGCAUGGCAACCACCAAAUAAAACCCCCACAACUGUCGUCUGUGUGAAGCUGAUAUGAUGUGACAGACUUUAUCCAGAGACGACGACGACGACGAGGAUGAUGUGAUGAUGAUGAAGAAGGGAUGAUGCAUUAGAUUAUCAACACAGCUCGGCUCCCGUUGUUCUCACCUGUAUCACCAGUAUAUUGCACUUGCAGGUUGCAGGUCCAGUUCCUCCCAAACCAGCUCCAUGGGGUUUAAGUCAGGAGGACUCGGGACACAACUACAGAGUCCACGGUUCAACGAGGCGUUCACCUGCCGGCGGACAGACUGAAGGUAGUUUAGGGGAAAGGUGUUCGAACCCAGUGACUGAGAAUCUUUGAACUGACAACAAGUGAUUCAUGAUUUCCACCAGGGUUUGAACGUUAGUCCAACUGACUGUGUGAUCCAUCAUCAACAUUUGUAUACGAUUUUAAAUUUCUGAAUAUUUGUAAUAUUCCUUUACCUCCACCUUCAGCCGUGGCCGCACAGAGCAGGUGAUUGACUUGGUUUAUUUGAACAACGCCAUCGAGACUCUGAACCCUGAGUGAUGAAAGAUGGAAGAAGGGCAGAAUGAAGCUGCAGGAGACGACAAAGACUCGCAUGUGGAAAAAAAAAACUUCUUCAUCUUUUUUGGAAAAUGCCACAGGAGCAGCCAGAGCGGGUCGGCUCUUUUCCAGAGCUUGAAAAGAAAACAUGAGUUUAAAAAAGAAAAAGAAAAAAAAAAAAACACAGCCUCCUGACGUGGUUUCCUAAUUUAGAAACAGGUUGUGCUGCUGUCAGACUGCUGAUAAUAAAACUCUGGAAAACGUCCAGAUCACACACUGAGAGUUCCUGAAAAGCAAACAUCUGCGGCGAUGGCGUCAGAGUCUCCCCCCAGGAAAAAAGUCACGAGACCUGGUGGUGUGAAUUCAUGUUCUAAAAUCUAAGAAAUUGAAUGAAUGAAUGUGAGAAAAAUAAUGUUAGGGCAGUCGUCUCUUUUCUAAAUUUACUUCACUUUCUUGAAAACAAAUCAAACACUCAAAAUCUGUUUAGUAAAUUAAAACAAAAAGAUCAGAACUAAUUCCACAGUGUAGAAAUACUCAAAUGAAAGUCAUGAAUUCUGCUUAAGUAAAAGCAUAAUAAAAAUACAUAUAAAAGUAUCAGCAUCAAAAUAUACUUAAAGUACCAAAACUUAAAGUACUCAUGCAGAAUGGGCUAUUUCAGAAUAGUUAUUGAUGCAUCAAUAUGUUCUGGAGUGGAAAAAUGAUGGUUUUAAUGACUUAAACUGCUGUGUAGUUUGAUCUAUCAUAAAACAUCCUAAUUUAUUUAUUGAUUAUAUUUUGUUUUUAAUAAUCUGAAUCCGAAAAGUCACGAAAGUUAUCAAAUACAUGUAGAAGUAUAAAGUAACACUGAAGUACAGUACUUGAGUAAAUGUACUUUUACCACAUGAAAAACUAAUGAGAUUAGGAAAUCUGUAUUUUUAAAUUAUUUCAACUGAAUUUACAUUUAUAAUCCCUGUGAAAAUAAUAAUGUGCUUCAUGCGUGAAAUGAUCAUGUUUUGAUUAUGUUUAUUAUAGUUUGUUCACAUGACUCAGUUUUUCUGCCUCUUUACUUCAUAUUUUAAUGUCAACGGUUUAAUGUUGGUGGACUGUGAAAACAUCAGUGACAACAAGGAAAAUAAAUCCAGACUUUAAUAUCUGAAAAAGUCUGAUAUUUUUUAUUUACGUUAUAUUAUGUUUGUAUAUAUAUAUGUAUAUCUUCUGUAUAUUUUAUAGAGAUUAAAUCAGUAAACCAAACCCAAAUCAUUCAUUAAAUAAAUCCUGAUGAUGAAGCGGUGAGAACCAGUGAAUUCAUUUCAUGAAAAGUAGAAUUUAGUUUUAUUGUCAAAUUUUAAUUGUUCUUUCAUCA